GAUCCUGGCUCAGGAUGAACGCUAGCGACAGGCCUAACACAUGCAAGUCGAGGGGCAGCGGGGAGGUAGCAAUACCUUUGCCGGCGACCGGCGCACGGGUGAGUAACACGUAUGCAGUCCACCUGUAACAGGGGGAUAACCCGGAGAAAUCCGGACUAAUACCCCAUAAUAUGGGCGCUCCGCAUGGAGAGUUCAUUAAAGNGAGCAAUUUUGGUUACAGACGAGCAUGCGCUCCAUUAG
rnacentral:rRNA from 1 species